UACGAAGGGGGCGAGCGUUAUUCGGAAUCACUGGGCGUAAAGCGUGCGUAGGCUGUUUUACAAGUUGGGAGUGAAAGCCCAGGGCUCAACCCUGGAAUUGCUCUCAAAACUGUAAGACUCGAGUCCGGGAGAGGAUAGCGGAAUUUCCAGUGUAGUAGUGAAAUACGUAGAUAUUGGAAGGAACACCAGUGGCGCAAGCGGCUAUCUGGACCGGUACUGACGCUGAGGCACGAAAGCGUGGGGAGCAAACAGG
rnacentral:rRNA from 1 species